rnacentral:lncRNA from 1 species
CUUAAAUUAAAACAUGUGAUUCUUCAUAUCGAACCUUGCAUAAACCAUAUAAAUAAAAUUAAUCAUUUUCUGAAAUCAAGUAUGAAGAAAUGAAAUUAGAAAUAAAAAAAAAUUAGAUGCAAGUAAUGCGAUUGGCCGAGGCAAGUAUAACUCUUUCCUUAAGAUAAAUUUGCCCCGCAUCGGUGCUAACGGUUUUUCGGCAGUCAUCUCCCAAGAUACAACGACCACAUCAAAUCAUAAGAGCACUCCAAAUGACUUCAACCAGUGAACUCGAACGGAAUUCCCCCUCUACCAUAACCAUGAUUUUGAUACAAAAGAUAAUCACUUCUACAAAGUGUUUUAUGCAUAGCAAAUUGUAAAAUAUGGAAUGGAAUGAAUUGAAAUGACAAAUACACAUCCAAGUGGUCCUAUAUAUGGAAGAUGAAGGGUUGUGGGUGAAGGGACACACUCCAAAUCCAACAUUUUUCGUGGAAAGUUGCAACACUUCAUUUCGAAAAGUUGUAACACUUCAUUCUUCCAACUUUGGAUCACAAUUUCUUAUUCAUUCGGAAUUGGUUUCGAGAUUUCAAAUAUACCAUGACGAUCUACUCGACGAGUAGAAUAGGUUGGUCUAUUUACUUUUGUGAUUUGACCAUUGGAUCAAGUUCGAAUAUUCGACCAAAGUUGACAUGAAGUUACACCUUUUCAUUUUCUUAGUUUUACACUUAACCAAUUUUCGGUUAAUUUUUUGAACCAAUUCCAACACUAAUGUAAUUGAGAAAGAAAUCCUGAAGUGACGGGAGAAUUCGUAAAACUGUUCUGUCUAUGAACUAUAGAAAGAAAGAAAAUAAUAAUUUCAACCUCCUUUGGCUUGCAUAGUUUUGGAGUGAUAUCUUGGGGUCAGCAUUGCUCUCAUUUUUGACCUUGCAGUACAAAUUUAGGUGGAAAUUCCAUCAUAUUCUCGGUAGAAAUGUUGGAAUUUCUUGUGAUCAAAGAUGGCAAAGAUAAUUUUUGUAAAGCAAGGAGAAAGCUACAGGCUGCCUGAUCAGAUAGGCAAUGGAUAAAUUCUCUUCUAAAUGCCUAAAAUUAUUGUAAACUGGUGGACUGAGUUAAACAGUAUUGGAGAGGGCAACAUGAAAAUCUAACUUCUUUUCUUCCUUAUUCAUAACCAGUUCUAAUUCAGCCCACAUAUAGAAAUAAUUAAGUAUUUGGCAAUUUUAGAAUUAUAUGGUAGUUUUAGAACAUUUUCUUCAUAACAAAGUUUUGUUUAUUGAAGUCUUGCAAUUACUAUCGUAUAGGAUUUUAUUAUGAUAUUUUGAAAUUUCCUCAUAAAUAGAAUUCUAUAGUAUUGGAUAAAUAGGACCACACGUCUUUGGAAAGUCAGACUUGUUGAAACGAAAAAUUGGUGUUCUCAAUCAUAUGCCUAAAUUCUCAGCAUUCCAUGAGAGUCAACGAGUCUUUGAUGCCUAGUUUUAUGGUAUUCAUCAGUGAAUCAACAUGAGGUUGUUUUUUACUUUCGUGUUCUCAUGCAUCUAUACACGCUACCCUGCAUCAAGUACUGUUGAGUCCAACCUUGGAAACAUGCCCUUAUGGACAUCUUAUCUUACUGGACAGCCUGAUACAUGCGAUAUAUGGUAGUUCAAGGGAGAAAAACUUGUCAGAAAGAAGAAACUACCGCUAAAGAAUCCUUGUAAUCUGAAAAAUGAUCUGGUGUUUUAUCUGAUAUCAGGAAGUUGCUUACCUUAGCAUGCCAUGUAGUGUACUGCCUGCUACUUUGGAUUCUUAUGCACUUGUGGCAUAAGGGGCCUGACCAUGAAAGUUUUUGAGCUUCAAGAAUAAGCCGAGCUCAGAGACAACUUAGAAACUUC